GCUAGAAUGACUUUCUCCUAGAAAGUCAAUUCGAGUUCAGAUACCUUCAUUUCUAGUAAAAAUGGAAUGUGUGACCAUUAUUCUCUUGCUAUUAAUAACAUCUGGGUCUUGCAUCCUAAACUGUCUGCUGUCCUCUGUCUCCAAGUAGCCAGAGUUUCUGAAAACUGCAAAUGAUGGUCACUUAGCGAUGCUAACAGGACGGAGGCCUGUGACAACCAAGUACAUGUAAAGGCAGCUGGAGAAGCUCUGCUCCUCCACUCAGUGUUAUGACGGUUCCCCAGACCAGCUAAGCAGUUAUAGAAGAUGGACUGGCACCCCUCAGUGCCUUUCUAGGUUUCACUUGACCACAGGAUACUGCGUGAAGAGGCCUCCCACCAGGUACUUCAGACAAGAGUCCCCAACGCCAAAGAGCUGUGCCUGCUUCUUAGCUUGGGACCGUGUGCAGACGCUCUGCGCUCAACACUGCAAUUCAAGAUGGCCCUGGCGGCAGCGAGCUGUGUGCAGACACCGCUGGCAAACUGCCCCUGCGCUGCCGGAGCUCCGCCCCGUCGCCCCGCCCAACACUUGAACUCCAUAAAGCAGCCCGGCCCACAGCCCGCCAGGGAGAAAGGGUACUCCAGGAGGCGAGCUUGCCCCUCUCCAUUCUUUCACUGAAAAACACAGCUUUCCUUUGUUCUGAACGGAUCUUGGUCUCAUUCAAUAGGCUCAUAUGGGACCAGUCAGGAGAACCUUCGUCGAGGACGGACUCAGAAGGAUUGAAAGAGUUCCUCUGGGUUGAUGAGCUGAGCCCUCGGGACAGAGAGAGGCCAGUUGACAAAUGUAAUCAUGACCUAGGAGCCCAGGGGCACAUACCAAGUCUUAGACAUGAAUCAUGGAGGCUGCUCCAGGGACCUCUGAAGACCUGGAUCAUGGUCUACUUUGCCCCUUCUCUCCGCACCAAUAGGCCUCUUUCCCAAAUGCAAAUUAUCAGCUUGUGGGAAUAGAUGCCUAUGAAUCAGCAGCCCUAUCCAGACAUACCUGAACCUGGAUGGAUUGAGCACCACCCACAAGUCCUCUGCCAGGUGUUCACUGAGUGGACGGCCCUUGCUUCUCUCCACUUAAAUUUCAUUCUCCAUCUCUGACAUCUCCACUAAGUUCUCACAAGUACCUCAAUGCAGUAUGCACUGCUGCCUCGUGUUCAAUAUGUCCAGAAAGGUAUUUAACCCAUCACUACCCAUGCAAAAAAUAAAAAAAUAAAAACCUGCUUUCCUCCUAACAUGUGACUUUUAAUGACAGUUUUGUGUUUCUAAUCACCUGGGGAUUAGAACCUUAGCUACAUUUUGAGUUCACCCCAUUUCGUACCACAUUCUAGCAGUUAUUCAGUAGUUUCUACCUCAUCAAUAUGUCUCAUCUGUUAAAGCCCCACCUGUGCCACAGGUUUUAAUAGCUUUUUUCCAGGCUUAUUACAAUAGUUUCAUUAUUCAUUCUAUUGUCAAACCUAUGUGCUAUACCUUUUGCAGGCAUGCCCUUUCUUACCUCUGAGCCUGUUCAGGCUAUUCCUGUUCACACUCUUCCCAUCCUCCAGCCAUUAAGCUAGGUAGUUCUCAUUCAGCCUGUGUGUAUUUGUUGAUCCUCACUUUCUUCCCUGAUCCUUCCCAGGCCUGGGUUAGAUGACACCCUCAGCCCCUGGGUUUGCCCUAACACACUGUACUGUAGCUACCUGGUUUGUUUGUCCCUUGCUUUAGGCAUGAAGCAUGACAGCAGGGACCAUGACAUGAUUAUAG